GCUCUCUUAGCUCAGUUGGUAGAGCACUUCACUCGUAACGAAGGGGUCACAAGUUCAAGCCUUGCAGAGAGCA
rnacentral:tRNA from 1 species